rnacentral:rRNA from 1 species
GCUUAACACAUGCAAGUCGAGCGGUAAGGCCCUUCGGGGUACACGAGCGGCGAACGGGUGAGUAACACGUGGGUGAUCUGCCUCGCACUCUGGGAUAAGCCUGGGAAACUGGGUCUAAUACCGGAUAUGACCUUACAUCGCAUGGUGUUUGGUGGAAAGAUUUAUCGGUGCGAGAUGGGCCCGCGGCCUAUCAGCUUGUUGGUGGGGUAAUGGCCUACCAAGGCGACGACGGGUAGCCGGCCUGAGAGGGCGACCGGCCACACUGGGACUGAGACACGGCCCAGACUCCUACGGGAGGCAGCAGUGGGGAAUAUUGCACAAUGGGCGAAAGCCUGAUGCAGCGACGCCGCGUGAGGGAUGACGGCCUUCGGGUUGUAAACCUCUUUCGACAGGGACGAAGCGCAAGUGACGGUACCUGUAGAAGAAGCACCGGCCAACUACGUGCCAGCAGCCGCGGUAAUACGUAGGGUGCGAGCGUUGUCCGGAAUUACUGGGCGUAAAGAGCUUGUAGGCGGCUUGUCGCGUCGAUCGUGAAAACUUGGGGCUCAACCCCAAGCUUGCGGUCGAUACGGGCAGGCUUGAGUACUUCAGGGGAGACUGGAAUUCCUGGUGUAGCGGUGAAAUGCGCAGAUAUCAGGAGGAACACCGGUGGCGAAGGCGGGUCUCUGGGAAGUAACUGACGCUGAGAAGCGAAAGCGUGGGUAGCGAACAGGAUUAGAUACCCUGGUAGUCCACGCCGUAAACGGUGGGUACUAGGUGUGGGUUUCCUUCCACGGGAUCCGUGCCGUAGCUAACGCAUUAAGUACCCCGCCUGGGGAGUACGGCCGCAAGGCUAAAACUCAAAGGAAUUGACGGGGGCCCGCACAAGCGGCGGAGCAUGUGGAUUAAUUCGAUGCAACGCGAAGAACCUUACCUGGGUUUGACAUACACCGGAAACCUGCAGAGAUGUAGGCCCCCUUGUGGUCGGUGUACAGGUGGUGCAUGGCUGUCGUCAGCUCGUGUCGUGAGAUGUUGGGUUAAGUCCCGCAACGAGCGCAACCCUUAUCUUAUGUUGCCAGCGCGUAAUGGCGGGGACUCGUGAGAGACUGCCGGGGUCAACUCGGAGGAAGGUGGGGACGACGUCAAGUCAUCAUGCCCCUUAUGUCCAGGGC